UGUAUGGUGUUUGUUCCAGUGUUGUGGAUCAUGCAAUAUGCUGGCCAGAUGCAAACUUUGAAACUUGGGCUGGGAUCGUGGUGCAACUAGCUAACAUCUUCCUUCUUCUUUAUACCCAUUCAUUUUAGUAAAAGUUUCAUGGACUGUUUCCAUGUUGCUGGUACGGCCAGGGAGAAAGUAAAUAUGUGUGUGUGUGAGUGUAUAUAUAUAUAUAAUAUCAUAUAUGUUUAUAUAUAGGAUAUAUAUAUAAUAUAAAAAGAAAACAUCUGCUUCAAAAUCUUUCUGUUGUAUAAAUCUCCUAACCUUACCUAUCUCAAUUAUUUAAUUUGACAGUUUUAGCCCAAGGAAAUGAGAAAUUCUGGUAAAGCUAAAAUAGUAGUUAACAAACGUGAAUCAGAGCAUGCUGCUCUUCUUCAUGGACAGCAAAACUGUCCUUCAGCUUGUUUAAUAAGGUGUUAAUUUUGAAAUAAUGGAAGCAAAGAAGCCAGGAGAUGUAAAUCUAAGUGUAAAUACCCAAUUGCUGCUGAUCAGAGAAAACCAGGCUCCUUUUUCUAGGCAGAAUUGUCGAAGGAUAGAAGUACUCACCUGCAGCUGGUCCAGAACUCAGAAAGGGGUUUUCUGGACUCGGAGACUCUCUUUCCAAGUGGACAUGGCCACAGACUUCGAUCGCGGUUCUGACAAAAUCAUUACGGCAUAUCUUAACAUUCUCCAUCAUC